rnacentral:rRNA from 1 species
UUGGAGGGCAAGUCUGGUGCCAGCAGCCGCGGUAAUUCCAGCUCCAAUAGUGUAUAUUAAAGUUGUUGCAGUUAAAAAGCUCGUAGUUGAAUUUCGGGAUCAAUAUUUCGGUCAUGCCGUUGGUAUGCACUGUUAUCAUUGAUUUCUCACCUUCUAAAGAACCGUAAUGCCAUUAAUUUGGUGUUACGGGGAAUUAGGACUGUUACCUUGAAAAAAUUAGAGUGUUUAAAGCAGGCUCACGCUUGAAUACAUUAGCAUGGAAUAAUGAAAUAGGACAUCCGAUUCUAUUUUGUUGGUUUCUAGGAUCGAUGUAAUGAUUAAUAGGGAUAGUUGGGGGCAUUAGUAUUCAAUUGUCAGAGGUGAAAUUCUUGGAUUUAUUGAAGACUAACUACUGCGAAAGCAUUUGCCAAGGAUGUUUUCAUUAAUCAAGAACGAAAGUUAGGGGAUCGAAGACGAUCAGAUACCGUCGUAGUCUUAACCAUAAACUAUGCCGACUAGGGAUCGGAUGAUGUUAAUUUUUUAAUGACUCAUUCGGCGCCUUACGGGAAAC